rnacentral:misc_RNA from 1 species
AAGUCGUAACAAGGUUUCCAUAGGUGAACCUGCGGAAGGAUCAUUAACACGUAUCCAACGUUAAACCCAGCGACCUGCUCCUCAAUUUCGGUCCGUUCUCCGGCUCACGCCAUCACACUUUCUGCUUCAAAGAAACCAGGUUGCUUUGCGUUGACUACUACUUUAAUACCCUACCCCGGCCCUUUGGAUGUCCCUGAAUCAAAACUGUUCGGCGAUGAUUUACCAGGGAUUGCCAAAAGACCGAUAGUUCAAAGGUGCCUUCUGUCGCGCACUGUUGAAAGGAAGACGCUUUACGAAUCACUGGUUCCUGGUCCUAGACCCCAUAUUCACCACCACAGUCGCAGACGAGGUAGGGAUACGUCCCUACCACCAAAUAAAUACUUGAGCAACUGUUAACAAUGGAUAUCUUGGUUCUC